rnacentral:piRNA from 1 species
UAUGAAGGGUGCUGUCUGAGAGACUGU